UGAGUGGGUCUUAUGGCCGCGCCUGGUUGCCCCAGCGAAGCAGGGUGAUGAGGUGAGGAAAGUCCGGACUCCAAAGGGCAGGAUGCCAGCUAACGGCUGGGCGAGGUGACUCGACGGAAAGUGCCACAGAAAAGAAAACUCUUUGGCUCGCAUCGGUGCUAACCGGUGCAACCGGAGAAAAGCUGAAACGGUGUGGUAAGAGCGCACCAGCGUUGCGGAAACGCAGCGGCUUGGCAAACCCCAUCCGGAGCAAUGACAAAUAGGGGUGCUAUCAAUUGGCCCGAUUGGCACCCGGGUUGUCAGCUAGAGGACAGCGGUGACGUUGUUCCCAGAUAAAUGGCCAUACGAGACAGAAUCCGGCUUAUCGACCCACUCAAACU
rnacentral:RNase_P_RNA from 1 species